AUUGAACGCUGGCGGCAUGCCUAACACAUGCAAGUCGAACGGCAGCAUGACGUGUAGCAAUACACGUUGAUGGCGAGUGGCGGACGGGUGAGGAAUGCAUCGGAAUCUGCCCAGUCGUGGGGGAUAACGUAGGGAAACUUACGCUAAUACCGCAUACGACUACGCAUUGAAAAAUGCGGGGUGAAAGCGGGGGAUCGAAAGACCUCGCGCGAUUGGAUGAGCCGAUGCCGGAUUAGCUUGUUGGCGGGGUAACGGCCCACCAAGGCGACGAUCCGUA
rnacentral:rRNA from 1 species